rnacentral:rRNA from 1 species
GACGAACGCUGGCGGCGUGCCUAAUACAUGCAAGUAGAACGCACAGUUUAUACCGUAGCUUGCUACACCAUAGACUGUGAGUUGCGAACGGGUGAGUAACGCGUAGGUAACCUGCCUGGUAGCGGGGGAUAACUAUUGGAAACGAUAGCUAAUACCGCAUAAUAUUAAUUAUUGCAUGAUAAUUAAUUGAAAGGUGCAAUUGCACCACUACCAGAUGGACCUGCGUUGUAUUAGCUAGUAGGUGAGGUAACGGCUCACCUAGGCGACGAUACAUAGCCGACCUGAGAGGGUGAUCGGCCACACUGGGACUGAGACACGGCCCAGACUCCUACGGGAGGCAGCAGUAGGGAAUCUUCGGCAAUGGACGAAGGUCUGACCGAGCAACGCCGCGUGAGUGAAGAAGGUUUUCGGAUCGUAAAGCUCUGUUGUAAGAGAAGAACGGGUGUGAGAGUGGAAAGUUCACACUGUGACGGUAUCUUACCAGAAAGGGACGGCUAACUACGUG